UAGAGAGUAGUGUACUGGAAGCACGAAGAGUUUUGAUCUCUUAAGUAGAGGCUCGUAUCCUCUCUCACUAA
rnacentral:tRNA from 1 species